UGCCAGCAGCCGCGGUAAUACGGAGGGUGCUAGCGUUGUUCGGAAUUACUGGGCGUAAAGAGUGCGUAGGCGGCUAGGUAAGUUGGGAGUGAAAUCCCGGGGCUCAACCUCGGAAUUGCUCUCAAAACUAUCUAGCUAGAGUAUGGUAGGGGAUAGUGGAAUUCUUAGUGUAGGGGUGAAAUCCGUAGAUAUUAAGAGGAACACCAGAGGCGAAGGCGACUAUCUGGGCCAUUACUGACGCUAAGGCACGAAAGCGUGGGGAGCGAACGGGAUUAGAUA
rnacentral:rRNA from 1 species